UACGGAGGAUCCAAGCGUUAUCCGGAUUCAUUGGGUUUAAAGGGUGCGUAGGCGGAUUAAUAAGUCAGUGGUGAAAGCCUACAGCUUAACUGUAGAAUUGCCAUUGAUACUGUUAAUCUUGAGUGCAGAUGAAGUGGGCGGAAUGUGUCAUGUAGCGGUGAAAUGCAUAGAUAUGACACAGAACACCGAUUGCGAAGGCAGCUCACUAAACUGUAACUGACGCUGAGGCACGAAAGCGUGGGGAGCAAACAGG
rnacentral:misc_RNA from 1 species